AAACAUACAAACCUCAUCUUUAGCUUACAGGUAUACACAAACAGUCAGAGGGCUGUACAUGACCCUUGGAUGAUCCUGGCUUAACCUGGAUUCAGCCUGACUAUGUCUUGUAGAAUGAGCAGAAUCCUGGAGAGCUGGCAGGAGAGGUCAGUGAGUCUGGUCUGGGCACAUUUCCAUCUCUUCUUUCUUCAUCCCCUCUUCACUUUUGGAUUUCCCAAAGAUCACCUGCUUCCAGUGAGGAGCAUUUAAUAUAUUCAGUAUGUAUCAGCUGCCUUCAUGAUCGUGACUACCAAAUAGUGGGCACUGUUAUCUGUGUGACAGUGAGAAUGUUGUCACAGAUCAGCACCGCUCUAUCAACUGGCAUUUGGAAAACACUAGCUCAAGGACAGUGGAGAAAUUUUCUGAUGAAAGAUGUGAAACAUCUGGACAAGAUAAGGACAGAAAUAAUUCAGCAAUCACAUCCAGUUCAGUCUUUGCCCAGUUCUUGUGUCUGGAGUCUCUCUAACCCACAGAACCUCUUUGGAUGAUCCCCUGAAGCACUCAUCUUUAGUCACUGGAAAUGCUCUGGAAGGCAGAAAAAAAGAAAUAAAUCCCCUUAGUUGUAUUCA
rnacentral:lncRNA from 13 species